UUUUAUCUAACCCGAAUUAUAUAUAAUUAUUCAAUCAAAAUUUAAAUCGAAAUUGGCAAUGCAAUCUCAACAAGAACCUCACCACUAUGGGUACUGUACAAACCAGUUGAAUGACGUCAAAGGGAGUCAAUAAAAUGGAUUGACAGUGAUCAAAACAGAACAAAAUAAAAACAUUGUCAUGAGGCCUAACUGGACACAUCGCAAUAAAAAGAAUUGACACCAACAAAAAAAAAAAGAAGGUUCGCCGUAUGUUCUGAGGCGUGCCACGGAUAAAGGCUUGUGAAUAUGAAGUUAAUGGACAUAGAAAUGUAUCAUUUCCCAACAUAUUAAGUUGGCCUGACUUUGGUUCUAAGAGGAGAAAAUAAAGCUAAAAUUAUAAAAUGGAAUGCCAAAAUUCUAAAUUGAAGCAGAAUUCAACCAAAUAAAUGGAAUAACUUGGGUCCAGCUUUUAAUUAAUGUCACCAAAAGUUAAAUGGAAAUUUUUACAAUAAAAGUGCGGUGGCAAAAAAAAAUUCA